rnacentral:misc_RNA from 1 species
GAAGGGAGAUUGAGGUGGUUUGAUAGAACUGUGCUUGUGUAGCAUCUUAUGCGGAUUUAGGUCUGGAAAGAAUGAGUGAAAACGGGUUUGCAUGGUCAUGUAGGUCCCUGUGCGCAUUUCGGCAAGUUCUAGAGGUUCUUCGUGAUACUGCAUAGGUAGGUGCAUAGGUUAUGCAGGAGGCUAUGUGACUUUUGAUGAGCUCGAAAAAUUUUCUAGUCUACUGCAUAAGCAGGUGCACAAGUUGAGAAUGAAGUUGUGCAUCUUUCGGUGUGUUUCAAUUUUUGCCUUCUGUGAUAGUGCAUAGAUAGUUGCACUGCCGUGUGACAUCUUGUGCAACUCUCGGCAUGAUGCAGCUAUUAUCCAGGCUCUUGCAUAAGCGAUUGCAUGGGCAUGCACGAAGUUAUGCAACUCUCAACAGGUUUCAGCAUUUCUUCUAUUUUCUUAAU